rnacentral:rRNA from 1 species
UGGGGAAUAUUGCACAAUGGGCGAAAGCCUGAUGCAGCGACGCCGCGUGAGGGAUGACGGCCUUCGGGUUGUAAACCUCUUUCAGCAGGGACGAAGCGCAAGUGACGGUACCUGCAGAAGAAGCACCGGCUAACUACGUGCCAGCAGCCGCGGUAAUACGUAGGGUGCAAGCGUUGUCCGGAAUUACUGGGCGUAAAGAGUUCGUAGGCGGUUUGUCGCGUCGUUUGUGAAAACCAGCAGCUCAACUGCUGGCUUGCAGGCGAUACGGGCAGACUUGAGUACUGCAGGGGAGACUGGAAUUCCUGGUGUAGCGGUGAAAUGCGCAGAUAUCAGGAGGAACACCGGUGGCGAAGGCGGGUCUCUGGGCAGUAACUGACGCUGAGGAACGAAGGCGUGGGUAGCGAACAGG